rnacentral:rRNA from 1 species
UACGUAGGGGGCAAGCGUUGUCCGGAAUUAUUGGGCGUAAAGAGCGUGUAGGCGGUUAGGUAGGUCCGUUGUGAAAACUCGAGGCUCAACCUCGAGACGCCGAUGGAAACCCCCUAACUAGAGUCCGGAAGAGGAGAGUGGAAUUCCUGGUGUAGCGGUGAAAUGCGCAGAUAUCAGGAAGAACACCCGUGGCUAAGGCGGCUCUCUAGUACGGUACUGACGCUGAGACGCGAAAGCGUGGGGAGCGAACAGG